rfam:Ovis aries breed Texel chromosome 2, whole genome shotgun sequence.
UCCCUGAUAGCUCAGUUGGUAAAGAAUCUGCCUGCAAUGCAGGAGAACCUGGUUUGAUUCCUGGGUCGGGAA